AAGGUUUCGAAUGGAGAAAGCGA
rnacentral:siRNA from 1 species